rnacentral:rRNA from 1 species
UACGAAGGGGACUAGCGUUGUUCGGAAUCACUGGGCGUAAAGCGCACGUAGGCGGAUUUGUAAGUCAGGGGUGAAAUCCCGGGGCUCAACCUCGGAACUGCCUUUGAUACUGCGAAUCUUGAGUCCGAUAGAGGUGGGUGGAAUUCCUAGUGUAGAGGUGAAAUUCGUAGAUAUUAGGAAGAACACCCGUGGCUAAGGCGGCUCUCUAGUACGGUACUGACGCUGAGACGCGAAAGCGUGGGGAGCGAACAGG